GAUGAACGCUGGCGGCGUGCUUAACACAUGCAAGUCGAACGGUGAAGGCGGAGCUUGCUCUGCUGGAUCAGUGGCGAACGGGUGAGUAACACGUGAGCAAUCUGCCCCUGACUCUGGGAUAAGCGCUGGAAACGGCGUCUAAUACUGGAUACGAGCUGCGAAGGCAUCUUCAGCAGCUGGAAAGAACUUCGGUCAGGGAUGAGCUCGCGGCCUAUCAGCUUGUUGGUGAGGUAACGGCUCACCAAGGCGUCGACGGGUAGCCGGCCUGAGAGGGUGACCGGGCCACAAGGGGCUGGAGACACGGCCCGGCCCCCCGCGGGGGGGAGCGGGGGGAAAUUUUGCAAAAGGGGGGAAACCCGGAGGCAGAAACCCCGGGGGGGGGAGGCCGGCCUUGGGUUUGAAACCCUUUUUUAGGGGGGAAAAAGCGAAAGGGGGGGUACCUGAAAAAAAAGCCCCGGCAAACUACGG
rnacentral:rRNA from 1 species